AAAUUAGGAAUGUCUCAAAUCGUAUGGUUGCUGUGGAUAGUAAGUGUAGGUGGAAAAAUAGUGAAGAUAGGCAAUACAGAAAUUAAAGUGUCGUUGGAAGGCCUGCUGAAGAGGGACAAGCAAGUCCGAAACACAUGUUUAAAGUGUGUGUGUUCAG